GGCUUGGUAGCUUAGUUGGUAAAGCGCUCGUCUAGCAUACAAGAGUCCUGGGUUCAAGUCUCAGCCGAGCAC
rnacentral:tRNA from 1 species